rnacentral:lncRNA from 1 species
UGAAUAAACACAUUGUUUCUUUCUUUCUGUGGUAUUAAUGUAGUCCCUAUUACCAUAGCAUCCAAGCAUCUCACAAUUUUAAGCUCAUUUUCCUUGUUCUUGUGAAGUAGGAAAGUGACUUUCACAGGUGGGGAUCUGAGGAGGCAGGAAUAAAAUCACCCCAAGAUAUCCCAGGACGUCUGUAGCAGAGGAGGGAUUUGAACGUCUGAUUCCCAGGUCACUGGCUCCUGUCCUGAAAGAAUGCUGGGUAUUGAUGUGAUGGGCCACCCUGCUGCGCCGAUACUACUAUGAAGAGACCCUCCCCAAGAGUCAAAGUGUAUUUCAAACCCGGGUCUGCACCAAAACGCUGGAUAUAGGCUCUCCUCAAGUGAUGAGGAUUCAUGCUGGUAUCCCGUCUGGCGCCGUGUCUCUAUGGUAGUCUCAUCUAGCUGGAAACUGACACGUUCCACAAAAAAAUAAAACAUAAAAAAUCCCCAAACAAACAACUCCCUGCCUCCAAAACCACUCUGCAUUUAUUUCUUUAGUGAUUUCUUUUUUGUUUGUAACUAAAACUGUAAUCCGGAGAGUAAUGUGCGUUUAUUACGGUCGAUUCCCAUCUUAAUGAUAGUUUGAUUUGUGUCUUUUAUUGAAUUGCUCAGUCUGGUUUAAGAGGAAUUUGAUGGAUAUAAAAUGCUGUUUCACCUUAUUUUCUGUGAUGCAUUAAAGCAUUAUGUGAAACCCAGCAGCCCUAUUC